rnacentral:tRNA from 1 species
GCCCUCGUAGCUCAGAUGGGAGAGCAUCAGACUGUUGAUCUGUGGGUCGUAGGUUCGAAUCCUACCGAGGGCA